rnacentral:rRNA from 1 species
AUUGAACGCUGGCGGCAGGCCUAACACAUGCAAGUCGAACGAGUGGCGGACGGGUGAGUAAUGUCUGGGAAACUGCCUGAUGGAGGGGGAUAACUACUGGAAACGGUAGCUAAUACCGCAUACCAUCAGAUGUGCCCAGAUGGGAUUAGCUAGUAGGUGUGGUAACGGCUCACCUAGGCGACGAUACCUACCUGGUCGGAGAGGAUGACCAGCAACACUGGAACUGAGACAGGGGCGAGAUUCCUACGGGAGGAAGAGGUGGGGAAUAUUGCAAAAUGGGGGCAAGCCUGAUGAAGAAAUGCGGCGUGUAUGAAGAGGGCCUUCGGGUUGUAAAGUACUUUCAGCGGGGAGGCGUUACCCGCAGAAGAAGCACCGGCUAACUACGUGCCAGCCGCCGCGGUAAUUC